GAUGAACGCUGGCGGCGUGCCUAAUACAUGCAAGUCGAGCGAACAGACGAGGAGCUUGCUCCUCUGACGUUAGCGGCGGACGGGUGAGUAACACGUGGAUAACCUACCUAUAAGACUGGGAUAACUUCGGGAAACCGGAGCUAAUACCGGAUAAUAUAUUGAGCCGCAUGGUUCAAUAGUGAAAGACGGUUUUGCUGUCACUUAUAGAUGGAUCCGCGCCGCAUUAGCUAGUUGGUAAGGUAACGGCUUACCAAGGCAACGAUGCGUAGCCGACCUGAGAGGGUGAUCGGCCACACUGGAACUGAGACACGGUCCAGACUCCUACGGGAGGCAGCAGUAGGGAAUCUUCCGCAAUGGGCGAAAGCCUGACGGAGCAACGCCGCGUGAGUGAUGAAGGUCUUCGGAUCGUAAAACUCUGUUAUUAGGGAAGAACAAAUGUGUAAGUAACUAUGCACGUCUUGACGGUACCUAAUCAGAAAGCCACGGCUAACUAC
rnacentral:rRNA from 1 species